GAUGAAGAACGUAGCGAAAUGCGAUAAGUAAUGUGAAUUGCAGAAUUCAGUGAAUCAUCGAAUCUUUGAACGCACCUUGCGCCCUUUGGCCAUUCCGAAGGGCAUGCCUGUUUGAGUAUCAUGAACACCUCAACUCUUCAUGGUUUUCCGUGAUGAGCUUGGACUUUGGGGGUCUUGCUGGCCUAUGGUCAGCUCCUCUAAAAUAAAUCAGCUUGCCAGUGUUUGGUGGGUAUCACAGGUGUGAUAACUAUCUACGCUUGUGGUUUUCCACCAGGUAACCUUCAGCAGUGGAGGUUCGCUGGAGCUCAUAGAUGUCUCUCCUCAGUGAGGACAGCCCUUUGAAUGUUUGAUCUCAAAUCAGGUAGGACUACCCGCUGAACUUAAGCAUAUCAAUAAGCGGAGGA
rnacentral:misc_RNA from 1 species